AUGAUGGGAAUUUAAACCUCUUCCAGAGUAUCAAUUGGAGGGCAAGUCUGGUGCCAGCAGCCGCGGUAAUUCCAGCUCCAAUAGCGUAUAUUAAAAUUGUUGCAGUUAAAAAGCUCGUAGUUGAAUUUCUGCUGCAUCGCUGUGUCCCUUCGGGGUCUCUGCAUGUGGCUUAUUUCGGACGGAGUUCGCUUUGUCUGGAUGUUUACUUUGAGAAAAUUAGAGUGCUCAAAGCAGGCUUUUGCCUUGAAUAGUUUAGCAUGGAAUAAUAAAGUAGGACUUUGGUUCUAUUUUGUUGGUUUUAGGUACCAAAGUAAUGGUUAAUAGGAACAGUUGGGGGCAUUCGUAUUUAACUGUCAGAGGUGAAAUUCUUAGAUUUGUUAAAGACGAACUACUGCGAAAGCAUU
rnacentral:rRNA from 1 species